rnacentral:misc_RNA from 1 species
ACCAUAGACAUAAAUUGACUCAUUUCUUAUUAUUACAAUUUUACUUUUCUUUUACCUCCUCCUCUCUUCUCCGUCUUCAAUCGCCGCCGAUGGAUUGGCAAGGACAAAAGCUCGUGGAACAAUUGAUGCAGAUACUGCUUGUGAGCUUUGGUGUGGUAGCAUUCCUCACAGGCUAUAUGUUGGGCACGUUCCAAACUAUGCUGUUAACAUACGCUGGUGGUGUUGUCUUUACGGCCCUUCUCACCAUACCUAACUGGCCUGUCUAUAAUCGCAACCCUCUCAAUUGGUUGGACCCAAGUGUAGUCGAGAAGUAUCCCAAACCACUGCCUGCUACUACUGGUUCCAAGAAGAAGAGCACUAAGAAGUAGGUCAUUUGACUGAUAUUCCGCUGACAUAUCACUUGGUCUUUCUACGGAAAACUAUUAUGAUGUAUCAAAUACAGUCGGUGGUUUUUUGGUAUGAGCUGAACGUUUUAUGCUCUCGGUGAAUUUUGUCAGUGCUAUAAGAAAGAUUUAGUUUUGAUAUUGUUGUGCCAUUUCUCUUCUAUUCCUAAAUUUUAUAUGUGAACUGCCUAUUUAUUUGCAUAUCAUCUGAAAAUAACCAGUCUCUAUCCAAACACAAGUUGUGUUUGGAUG